UCGAGAAUCUUCCGCAAUGGACGAAAGUCUGACGGAGCGACGCCGCGUGAUGGAUGAAGUCCCUCUGGGACGUAAACAUCUUUUAUGAGGGAGAAAGUUUAUUGAUAGUACCUCACGAAUAAGGGGUUGCUAAACUCGUGCCAGCAGCAGCGGUAAUACGAGUGCCCCGAGCGUUAUCCGGAAUCAUUGGGCGUAAAGGGUGUGUAGGUGGCAUUGUUAGUCACACGUUAAACCCUGGGGCUUAACCCCAGAUCUGCGUGUGAUACGGCAAAGCUAGAGGAUGGCAGGGAUGUAUGGAACUCAUGGAGUAGGGGUGAAAUCCGUUGAUAUCAUGGGGAACACCGAAAGCGAAGGCAGUACAUUGGGCCACUCCUGACACUGAGGUGCGAAAGCGUGGGUAGCAAACAGGAUUAGAUACCCCCGUAGUCCCUGAGCGGGCUGGCAAGGCGCAU
rnacentral:rRNA from 1 species